rnacentral:rRNA from 1 species
UACGGAGGGUGCAAGCGUUGUUCGGAAUUAUUGGGCGUAAAGCGCGCGCAGGCGGCCUGGCAAGUCCAGGGGUGAAAUACCGGGGCUCAACCCCGUGUAUGCCCCGGAUACUGCCAGGCUAGAGACACGUAGAGGCAAGCGGAAUUCCGGGUGUAGCGGUGGAAUGCGUAGAGAUCCGGAAGAACACCGGAGGCGAAGGCGGCUUGCUGGGCGUGAUCUGACGCUGAGGCGCGAAAGCGUGGGGAGCGAACAGG